rnacentral:rRNA from 1 species
GAUGAACGCUGGCGGCGUGCUUAACACAUGCAAGUCGAGCGAGAAACUAUAUGCAGACACUUCGGUAGAAGCGAGUAGCGGAAAGCGGCGGACGGGUGAGUAACGCGUAGGCAACCUGCCCUUCACAGAGGUAUAGCCUCGGGAAACCGGGAUUAAAACCACAUAAAAUCAUAGGUUCGCAUGAACCAAAGGUCAAAGAUUUAUCGGUGAAGGAUGGGCCUGCGUUGAUUAGCUGGUUGGUAGGGUAAAAGCCUACCAAGGCGACGAUCAGUAGCCGACCUGAGAGGGUGAUCGGCCACAUUGGAACUGAGACACGGUCCAAACUCCUACGGGAGGCAGCAGUGGGGGAUAUUGCACAAUGGGGGAAACCCUGAUGCAGCAACGCCGCGGGUAUGAAGGCCUUUGGGUUGUAAGCCUCUGUCCUAGGGGAAGAAAAAAAUGACGGUACCCGAGGAGGAAGCCCCGGCUAACUACGUGCCAGCAGCCGCGGUAAUACGUAGGGGGCAAGCGUUAUCCGGAAUUAUUGGGCGUAAAGAGUGCGUAGGUGGUCUACUAAGCGCGAGGUGAAAGGCAAUGGCUCAACUAUUGUUAGCCUUGCGAACUGGCAGACUUGAGUGCAAGAGAGGAAAGCGGAAUUCCUAGUGUAGCGGUGAAAUGCGCAGAUAUUAGGAGGAACACCGGCGGCGAAGGCGGCUUUCUGGAUUGUAACUGACACUGAGGCACGAAAGCGUGGGUAGCAAACAGGAUUAGAUACCCUGGUAGUCCACGCCGUAAACGAUGAGCACUAGGUGUCGGGACAUGAGUCUCGGUGCCGCAGUUAACGCAAUAAGUGCUCCGCCUGGGGAGUACGCACGCAAGUGUAAAACUCAAAGGAAUUGACGGGGACCCGCACAAGCAGCGGAGCAUGUGGUUUAAUUCGAAGCAACGCGAAGAACCUUACCAAGACUUGACAUCCCUCUGACGUACCCUUAAUCGGGUAUUUCUUCCGACAGAG